CAAAAAUAUCAGUGCAGGUUCUAUUUCAGUGGAAUGACCUUAAAAAACUCAAACCUAAACCUCGUACCCAUGCCCAAGCUCUUCUCUUCUUUUGGGUUGAGGAGAAGACACCGGGGACGAGGUUGCAUAAGAGUUUGUCAUUUUGGCGUCCAUUUUGAAAAUCGUCUGGUGAUGUAAACACUCCAAAAACAGUACUCUUCGCUACAGGGAAUUCGAGAGGCAACAUGGAUCGCAGAUAAAAAUCAUCUUGGUUUCCACUCAGUGUUUAUACAUCCUAUAAGGCUGGUAACAAGAAAUACAACGAUCGGACGUAACCCCAGAGGUCUGGAACGUUGAUAGGCCUAGCAAUCAUGAUGGGUGCGAGUUCCAAGUGCCUCAAGAGUACACUCGUUAAGUCAAUCCGGAGUUCACAGGGGACUUAAAUGUAAGGGAUGACAGCAGCUUCCACGUAACCUGAGGAAAGAAGGAAGUGAUCUCUUACUUACAGCAGAAUACUCGAGAUGUGUUUGCCCUAGUGUGCUUUCUGAAGAUGGGACGCCGCAGAUAUCCUCUUCUGCUCCUGAACCAAUCUUAUGGUCACAACCAACACCCUGGUGUAUAAAGGACAUUUUCAAAAUU